rnacentral:lncRNA from 10 species
AGUUUUCAUCGCUAGACCAAAUGUACAACCGCCUGAUGUCCUGCUCUAGGAUCCCCUCCUCAACCCAACCGAUCUUGAGUUCCCCAAGCUUCCGACCCUGCGCCCUCCGCCAGGACCCCUGCGUACAAGCCUCUCACCCCGAACGUUGAUGUUGAAGCCACAGCGAAUACAGGUGACCGUAUCCUGAGCCCCGGGCAGAGGCAGGACCGAGCCGCAAUCUGAACAGAAAUCCAGGUCCGACUGAAAGCUGGAGCAAGUAUUGGCGAGGUCCAUGACAGACAUGCGGUCGGGUCUGAGGAGGGAGUUGGAAGUUUAUUAACAAAAGAGAGAAGAGUUCCUGUCCCAGAGGUCGUAACUAUUCUGUCCCAGGACCUAGGAGUAUAUAACCCGAACCCUCCUGCCACGCACGCCUCCUGCCUCUGCGACCAAGGAGCCGAAACGCCCGGAAUUCCCAGACAGCGUCGGGUACUAAAGGACUUGGAACCCUUUCCAGGGGCCGGUGAGAGGAGUUAACCAACUCCGUGGGCUAGAGCGCCAGCUCUGCGCCCGCGGCGGGGCAGCGAGAUAGAGCCGGCUAGAGCGUCAGGCUUUCGCGUUGACGAUUGGCUGUGACGUCAUAAUUAAUUGCGAACCGUGUCUCGGGAGCGUUAGAGAUGGAGACUAACGUCUUCCAAGGGAGAUUGCGUCUCCACUUUCACCCUGGUACUGAGAGGUUGAGCACAAAAUUGAUUGGCCUGGGGUACAUCAUCUAAAGAUCCUAGGAUUGCUGCAGGUCAGCAGUCUCCACUGGAAAAAAAGAUCUUGCAUGUAUUUCAAGUCCUCUGAUGAAUCAUGUGAUCUACUAGACCCUGAAGAUACAGUGAAGAGCAAAAGAACACAGAUGAAAUGAGAAACAAAAACGAUGGAGAAAACCAAAAAAGGGGACACAUGGGAUCCAGGCAAUAGGAGAGCCAGCAUAAGAGAGAGCCAGAGGGAUGCCCAGGAUGAGGUGAAGACGAUCUUGGAAAUCAGCCCAGAUGUGCAUGCACCAGUCCACGUGUGGCAGGACCAAGGGAAGUGUCUUCACAAAGAUGAGGCUUUGAUUUGUUGGAGAAACUGUUACCAGAAAAACAGGUCCCGAUCCCGACCCCAAAAGAGUAUUCUUGGAUCUUGCACAGGAAGGAAUUAAAGCCUCAUUUGGCCACAGGCCCAGUGUCAACACCAGGGGGCGCCACAGACCAUGAAGGCACCGUGCAGCUGGGAUUGUUUGUGGUCGGCUACUGGGUCCCUGACUUAACCAGGGGAGCCAAGACCCUGUAGCCAAGUGGCCUGGAUUCAACCUGCAGCUCAGGUCUUACUGACACUUCUCCCCCUGGUGCCUCAGUUUCUUAAUCUGUGAAAUGGUGAGGACAUUACAGCAUUUACCUCUGGGGCGGGUUUCUCAACAGCAGCACUAUUAACAAUUUGGGACAGAGAAUCUUGUGGAGUGGUCUGUCCUGUGCAUUGUGGGAGGUUUGCCAGCAACACCCCACUCACCCCCUCCCACCAAUCCCCAUGUGACAACCGAAAAUGUCCCAGGAUUUUUAGGUCUCCCUUGGGUCUAGAAGCUGCACUUAGGCAUUUUCCCACCUGACACUUGAGUUCAUCUCUGCUUUGGUCCACAUAAGGCCACUUUAAAAAAAUGUUGUUUCUUUAAAGAUUCUAACCAUCUUUUAAACAAAUCCAUUUUCUUCCUCUAUUUCUGCAUUCAGUUAAUCCUUCCAAACCCUUUGUUUAGUAUAUCUUGAAAUGUAUCAAUUCCUGUUCUAGUAAUUAACAUAUGUGACUUGCAUGAUAUCUGCUAUGACCCUUAGUAGAGCUCUGAUUCCUUUAGCACAGGGAAUGUGUUCUCGAUUCUGCUCUGGAUGAUGUAAAUCAAUUUAUUUUACUUUACUUGUCUGGGAUGUUGCUCCUCAUCUGUAAGAUGUAAAUGUGGAUAUGGCUUGGAUUACUAAGUGGUUUUAUUUCUUAAUUCACCUGACAUUUGUUGUGUGCCUGCUGCAAGUCAAAUACAUGGCAUGGUAUUGUUUCCUUGUUCACACCACAGCAAAUGAGAAAAUGAGACAUUAUAGCCAGGUGUGGCGGCACAGGCUUGUGGUCCUAGCUACUCGGAAGGCUGAGGCAGGAGAAUUGCUCCAGCCCAGGAGUUUGAGGUUACAGUAAGGUAUGAUAUCACCAUUGCAUUUCAACCUGGGCAACAGACCCUGUCUCUGAAAAAAGGGAAAAAGACCUUGUGAGCUGUCUACGUGUACUCUAUGUCUCAGGAGACUCAUAUCCUGUAAUUUUUCUAAAUGGCGUCUCCAUGUGGUCUUUCAUGAAUGUUUGUCUGGUAUUCUCUAUCCUUUUACUUUCAACUUUUCUUUACCUUCUACUGAAAUUAUGUCUUUUGUAAACAGCCCAUGAUUAUUUAUUUAGUUAUUUAUUUUUACCCCCCUGCACUAUUUGUCUUGUAAUUGGAGUGUCUGAGUCCAUUAUGUUUAAUGUAAUUAUUGACCUCAUUGGGUUUAAGUCUGUCCAUUGUCAUUUGCUGCCUUCUAAUAUUAUCUCUUUCUUGCUCAACUAUUUUUCUUAUGUUACCUUCUUUAGAUGAAUAAAAACCUUUGCAUUAUUGUAGUCUUCUAAGUGUCCUAAUUACACAUUCUCUUAUUAUUUCUUUAAUUAUCUGAGAAAGCAUAAUGAUCUGUGACUUAUUAUAACCAAUAGCAGACCACAACUUCCCUGACUUUCACCUACCUGUGCCCACAGCCCAGGGGAGAAUCAGUGCUCUGGCUCUGAGACACAGGGGUGGUGGGAGUAGGAGAGUGAUUGGAUGAUGAAUCUGUAGCUGCAGAGGCAUCUGGGCCCCUCACCUGCAUUCCUCAUAGAUGUCUCCUCCAUUGAAUGCCUGCGAUGCCCUCUCCUCUGUGUACUCCUGCCAGAGUCUCCCUAUCUCCACUGACAGCAGCUCCACCCUUCUGCUCACUCAGUCCAAUACUGUGGGUGUCCUUGAUUCUUCUUCUCACAUCCAUUAGCAAGUGCUGUGAGUCCAUCUUCAAAUUCAUCCAGAAUCCCUUCACUUCUCACUAUUUCCCCUGCUCACACCCUAGUCAAGGUAAGCAACGUGUCCAUCCUAGAAUACUGUACUCCUUUCCCACCAUUUUCCCCACUGCAUCACUGGUUCCCCACCUCUCAAUUCUGUUCUCAGCACAGCAGCCAGAAAGAAGCUUUCAAAGGAUGAGCCCUACCAUGUCCCACUUUUCAAAACUGUCCUCCCCAUGUCAUUCAGAGCAAAGGUCAACACCCUUCCCACACCCUUCAGGGCUACCUGCUCUA